CCCGAUCUAGACUGUCAAAUUAAGCCGCAGGCUCCACUCCUAGUGGUGCCCUUCCGUCAAUUCCUUUAAGUUUCAGCCUUGCGACCAUACUCCCCCCGGAACCCAAAGACUUUGAUUUCUCAUAAGGUGCCGGCGGAGUCCUAAAAGCAACAUCCGCCGAUCCCUGGUCGGCAUCGUUGAUGGUUGAGACUAGGACGGUAUCUGAUCGUCUUCGAGCCCCCAACUUUCGUUCUUGAUUAAUGAAAACAUCCUUGGCAAAUGCUUUCGCAGUUGUUCGUCUUU